rnacentral:rRNA from 1 species
UACGGAGGGGGCUAGCGUUGUUCGGAAUUACUGGGCGUAAAGCGCACGUAGGCGGCUUUGUAAGUUAGAGGUGAAAGCCCGGGGCUCAACUCCGGAAUUGCCUUUAAGACUGCAUCGCUAGAAUUGUGGAGAGGUAAGUGGAAUUCCGAGUGUAGAGGUGAAAUUCGUAGAUAUUCGGAAGAACACCAGUGGCGAAGGCGACACACUGGCCCGUAACUGACGCUGAGGCGCGAAAGCGUGGGGAGCAAACAGG